GUGCUCACUUUAGCACCACAUAUACUAAAACUGGAACAAUACAGAGGAGAUUAGCAUGGCCCUUGUGCAAAGAUGACAUGCAAAUUCGUGAAGGGGUCCAUAUUUUU
ensembl:snRNA U6 U6 spliceosomal RNA